GUAAGCGUAAUGAUGAGUGGCCAUUGUAAAAAAUCAAAGCGCUCAACAUGCAGAAACACCAUUAGAAUGACAUACAAAACAUGCAUGUGUAGCUAUGAGAAUGAAUACGAGAACACAGCAGAGCAAUGUGCAUGUUGAAUAACUGAUAAACAAGUGCACAGAGACGCUGAGAUGCGACAUAAAGCUUUCCAAACCAGACUCAACAAUGUCUUAGCGGUAAGAGCAUGUUAGUCCAAUAAUGGAAUAAAUGGCUUUCUGACAAAAUCAAAUACUGUCCCUUAAAAUGCUGCUGCUGAAGCUGCAAACACCAUGCUGACAAGUGUUUCCUUUGAGGCAAUCUCAAAUAUGAGCAGAGGUAUUUAAUCAUAGGUAAUCCAGGUACUGUAUUCUUAUAUUACACUCAUCAAUUAAGGGUAAAAAUCUUCUGUUUUUACUUUUAUCUAAGCUGAAGAUGUGAGCCUGUACUCACUGCUCUGAGACCAGGUUUCUGUUCUUAAAUCAAAUUCAGAUCAAGGGGCAGAGGAAGACUCCAAACUGAUCCAAAGCCAGCUGGUAGGGGCAAACCUCCCUCUGCCCCCUCUCCGCUGUCCUCAGAAAGGAUCCUUUGUACCAGGCCCCAUGGGUGCCUCAGCUCAGCGGUUUUAGCUUUCAUUGACACAAACUUUAUCCAAUAGGACCCUGGCCUAUUCAUCCACAGGAAGGGAGAAAACUGCAAGAAAUAACUUCCUAAAUUCCUAAAUGAAAUGCUCUGCCAUAGCUGAGAUUGCUCUCAUGGUCAAGGAUGACCGAGACCCUCUUUUGCUGGAUGUUACGCAGGUUUUGGAAGAAAAAAAGGCACAGUGACAAGUUGAAUAUCAGCCGCCCUCUUUGAAUCUGGACCAGCUGAUCCUGGCUGAGUUUGGCACAGCUGAGACCUCCCCAUGAACUCUAUGUCCAAUCUAGACCACAAGGUGGGGCUGUUGGAGGCUCAAAACGGAGUGCUGCCAGCUGGGCCUGCGGACAGAUUCCUCCAGAUGUGCUUCGCUCUGAUUGGUGCUCUGAGCUGUUUCCUCACUGGCCUCAGUCACCCUGUGUCAUAUUUCAGCUUUGAUACAGAGGGUCUUUCAAAGUACUUCCAAGAAGGGGUGACCUGAUUCUGAAUGAUGAUGCCUGUCUUCCUCUGGAUUUUCAAACACCUACUUCUACAGUGAAAUGAAGAGAGUGGUAUGGGCUUGUGGCCCACACACUCAGACACCAGCAGGAAUCCGUAGAGGAGCUUCAGUAACGAAACAGAAAAUAGAGAGAGUUGACUUUAAACCCUGAAUGCUGUGGACCGAGUAAUAUUGGGCCCAGAAGAAGCUUGUGUGAAAGACUGUGUGUGUGUGUGUAUGCAUACUGUUUUUUAGGUGUUGCACAAAUCCCUUUGUACUGUUUGGUAAAAUGAUAAUAAAGCUUUAUGAUUCUGA